GAUGAAGAACGUAGCGAAAUGCGAUAAGCAGUGUGAAUUGCAGAAUUCAGUGAAUCAUCGAAUCUUUGAACGCACAUUGCGCCCCUUGGUAUUCCAUGGGGCAUGCCUGUUCGAGCGUCAUUUGUACCUUCAAGCUUUGCUUGGUGUUGGGUGUUUGUCUCGCCUUUGCGUGUAGACUCGCCUUAAAAUAAUUGGCAGCCGGCGUAUUGAUUUCGGAGCGCAGUACAUCUCGCGCUUUGCACUCAUAACGACAGCGUCCAAAAGUACAUUUUACACUCUUGACCUCGGAUCAGGUAGGGAUACCCGCUGAACUUAAGCAUAUCAAUAAGCGGAGGA
rnacentral:misc_RNA from 1 species